GGGCGGGUGGCGAAACUGGUAGACGCAUCAGACUCAAAAUCUGACGACCGCAAGGUUGUGAGAGUUCGAUUCUCUCCCUGCCCA
rnacentral:tRNA from 6 species